rnacentral:rRNA from 1 species
GACGAACGCUGGCGGCGUGCUUAACACAUGCAAGUCGAACGAAGUGGCGAACGGGUGAGUAACGCGUAAUCAACCUGCCCUUCAGCGGGGGACAACAGUUGGAAACGACUGCUAAUACCGCAUACUGAAGGAGGGUGUUUGGUCUGAUUAGCUAGUUGGAGGGGUAACGGCCCACCAAGGCGAUGAUCAGUAGCCGGUAGGAGAGGAUGAACGGGCACAUUGGGACUGAGACACGGCCCAGACUCCUACGGGAGGCAGCAGUGGGGAAUCUUCCGAAAUGGACGAAAGUCUGAAUGAGCAACGCCGCGUGAGUGAUGACGGCCUUCGGGUUGUAAAGCUCUGUUAAUCGGGACGCGGUACCGGAAUAGAAAGCCACGGCUAACUACGUGCCAGCAGCCGCGGUAAUUC